GAUCAUGGCUCAGAUUGAACGCUGGCGGCAUGCUUUACACAUGCAAGUCGAACGGUAACAGGAGCUUGCUCCGCUGACGAGUGGCGAACGGGUGAGUAAUAUAUCGGAACGUACCCAGAAUGGGGGAUAACGUAGCGAAAGUUACGCUAAUACCGCAUACGAUCCACGGAUGAAAGUAGGGGACCUUCGGGCCUUAUGCUUUUGGUAGCGGCCGAUAUCUGAUUAGACUAGUUGGUGAGGUAAAGG
rnacentral:rRNA from 1 species